AAGUCCGGUAGCGAAGAAGAAGGAUAACUUUGCUAACAAACAUGCCGGAGGCACACAAACGAAAACGAAUCGACAACAUGAAUGUGGUAGAUCAUCUAUUGGAGCACAGAUUUGAAACCCUUAGUCUGGAGGAAAAAUUAGAGUACCUGCCUGCUGUCCUGGCAGGUCCUUGUGGGUGUAGGGCUGAAUAGAGAACGGGAAACACCAAGCCAGGGCUACAAACAGCAUGGUGCGCAACCCGGCCCAUAGCCCCAGCGAGUCUGCUCGGUUGCACACGGCACGCAAAUGCGGCACACGGCGGACUCAAUGUAACGAGCCCUCAUUGAAUGAAGCUGAAGUUAUUAUUUUGGUUUUUAAAAUCGAAAAUUUGCUUUAUGUUUUCACCUGUUAGCGACAAAGGACUGAAUCUGUGAUUUAAUGUGAUAUAGUUCAAUUGAAGAAGAUUGUCAUGUAAGUUAUUGUGUACCUAAUGAGGUAAAACAAUGGUGAUUUAGGGUUAGGGUUUGUGCAUUCAUUCGUACAAAGACC
ensembl:lncRNA